rnacentral:rRNA from 1 species
CCUGACUGCUAUCGGAUUGAUACUAAGCCAUGCGAGUCAUUGUAGCAAUACAAGGCAGACGGCUCAGUAACGCGUAGUCAACCUACCCUAUGGACGGGAAUAACCUCGGGAAACUGAGUAUAAUGCCCGAUAGAACAUUAUACCUGGAAUGGUUUAUGUUCCAAAUGAUUUAUCGCCGUAGGAUGGGACUGCGGCCUAUCAGUUUGUUGGUGAGGUAAUGGCCCACCAAGGCUAUUACAGGUACGGGCUCUGAGAGGAGAAGCCCGGAGAUGGGUACUGAGACACGGACCCAGGCCCUAUGGGGCGCAGCAGGCGAGAAAACUUUGCAAUGUGCGCAAGCACGACAAGGUUAAUCCGAGUGUUUCCUGCUAAAGGAAUCUUUUGCUAGUCCUAAAAACACUAGCGAAUAAGGGGUGGGCAAGUUCUGGUGUCAGCCGCCGCGGUAAAACCCGCACCUCAAGUGGUCAGGAGGAUUAUUGGGCCUAAAGCAUCCGUAGCCUGCUUUGUAAGUUUUCGGUUAAAUCUGUACGCUUAACGUACAGGCCGCCGGAAAUACUGCAGAGCUAGGGAGUGGGAGAGGUAGACGGUACUCGGGAGGAAGUGGUAAAAUGCUUUGAUCUCUCGAUGACCACCUGUGGCGAAGGCGGUCUACCAGAACACGUUCGACGGUGAGGGAUGAAAGCUGGGGGAGCAAACCGGAUUAGAUACCCGGGUAGUCCCAGCUGUAAACGAUGCAGACUCGGUGAUGCACUGGCUUGUGGCCAGUGCAGUGCCGCAGGGAAGCCGUUAAGUUUGCCGCCUGGGAAGUACGUACGCAAGUAUGAAACUUAAAGGAAUUGGCGGGGGAGCACCACAAGGGGUGAAGCCUGCGGUUC